UUUUAAAGCAAGCUCCUGGAAAAUGAGCCUCCCCCUUUUGCAGGAGGUGCUGGCCACGGAGAUGCUUGCACAGGAUGAGCCCUAAAUGCCUGUGCCACAAGGUAAAGAAUUCAGGUUCUCCAUCGAGAUGCUCCAAGUUUUAGUGGCAAUGAGCAAAUCACUGGUGUCCUUGGGAAACAUAAGGACACCCUAAUUGCAGGCAAUUAAAGCAGCCUUAGGAAAAGAAGGGCUGUGUUGAAAUCCAAGCUGGAAAGCGUACCUCUAAAUGGGUGCCAGUUGCCAGUGCUGGAGAAGUGCCCAAGGAGAAGGAGCUGGUGCUGCACAAACCCUCCACAUAGAGCUGGGGCUAGAAGGACCUUCUCCUCUCCUGUGUCCUGGUUACAUGAACACUUCAUCUCCUGCAUGCAGGCACUUGCAUGAGCAUGCAAAUCCAGCAGGCUCUUACUGGGGCUCCUGCAUGUGCGAGAUGGGAGAUGCUGGGAGCUGAUGAGGGCAGAUAGAAUGGAGCAAGUCCAGGGAAAGAAAGUAAUCGAUGCUGGGCUUGCCUUUAGAAUGUUCCCUCUCCUUUUUUGAUGCUGGUGCUCUGUAAAGGUUUGCCUUUGCCAGAUGGGGACUUCCAUUACUUUAGAGCUGUCAGAACAACAAAAGACUUCUUUGAGUCAUUUUCUAUAUCUGACCUUGAAUUACUGGAGCAGCAAUAAACAUCAAGAGCAAUGAGAACACAGAGUGAAGCUGUAAUUUUGACAUUAUAACUUGCUGCUCAAGUGUCAAAUAAGCCUUGCUGAAAACACGAAUAAGGAUCUGACCCCGCUGCAGGAUGAAAACAAGCACAAAAGCAUGCUGCCUGGGACUUCCACAGCCUAGCAGCCAGACGAUGCUCUGAGGCCAUUUGGCACUGAUAAGCAUUGUUUCACUGAGUGCAAUUACAUAUUUCUGUUUAGAAGAAAGAUUCUCCAUCAAAAGCAGCUCCCAAGCCUCUGCUGAUUCAGCCUUCAUUAGAGGCCUCUUACUGUGGACACAGUGAAGUGGUGACUCCUGUGCUUAUUUUCUGUUGCUGCCUUAUCUUUGGCAUCUCAUCUGCAACUUCUGCUGGGUUUAUUUUUUCUCCACUGGUUUCAUCUGAGUGCAAGAGAAGUGGAUGCUGUUUGGGCUUCAGUUCUUGCAAUGGUUUUUGAUCUGCCUGGGUGCAGGAUAGGAGAAUCUAGCCCCGAUUACAAAACUGCAAGCUAAGUAGGCUAACAAAACAGCAACUGCAAGAAACUGGAUCAGCUUUGCUUUGCUCACUGAGGUUUUCCUGCUCAAACGG